GACACGACCGUACCGCAAACCGACACUGGUGCGCGAGAUGAGUAUUCUAAGGCGCUUGAGAGAACUCAGGAGAAGGAACUCGGCAAAUUGACACCGUAACUUCGGAAGAAGGUGUGCCUUUAGUAGGUGAACCAUUUACUUGGGGAGCCCAAUGAGGCUGCAAAAAAUCGGUGGCUGCAACUGUUUAUUAAAAACACAGCACUCUGCUAAGACGAAAGUCGACGUAUAGGGUGUGACGCCUGCCCGGUGCUGGAAGAUUAAAUGAUGGGGUGCAAGCUCUUGAUUGAAGUCCCAGUAAACGGCGGCCGUAACAAUAACGGUCCUAAGGUAGCGAAAUUCCUUGUCGGGUAAGUUCCGACCUGCACGAAUGGCGUAAUGAUGGCCACACUGUCUCCUCCUGAGACUCAGCGAAGUUGAAAUGUUUGUGAUGAUGCAAUCUCCCCGCGGAAAGACGGAAAGACCCCAUGAACCUUUACUGUAGCUUUGUAUUGGACUUUGAACAGAUCUGUGUAGGAUAGGUGGGAGACUUUGAAGUGUGGUCGCUAGAUCGCAUGGAGCCAACGUUGAAAUACCACCCUGGUGUGUUUGAGGUUCUAACCUAGGUCCAUUAUCUGGAUCGGGGACAGUGCAUGGUAGGCAGUUUGACUGGGGCGGUCUCCUCCCAAAGUGUAACGGAGGAGUUCGAAGGUACGCUAGGUACGGUCGGACAUCGUGCUAAUAGUGCAAUGGCAUAAGCGUGCUUAACUGCGAGACUGACAAGUCGAGCAGAUGCGAAAGCAGGACAUAGUGAUCCGGUGGUUCUGUAUGGAAGGGCCAUCGCUCAACGGAUAAAAGGUACUCUGGGGAUAACAGGCUGAUACCGCCCAAGAGUUCAUAUCGACGGCGGUGUUUGGCACCUCGAUGUCGGCUCAUCUCAUCCUGGGGCUGUAGCCGGUCCCAAGGGUAUGGCUGUUCGCCAUUUAAAGAGGUACGUGAGCUGGGUUUAAAACGUCGUGAGACAGUUUGGUCCCUAUCUUCCGUGGGCGCUGCAGAUUUGAGGAAGCCUGCUCCUAGUACGAGAGGACCGGAGUGGACGAACCUCUGGUGUAUCGGUUGUCACGCCAGUGGCAUUGCCGAGUAGCUAAGUUCGGAAGAGAUAACCGCUGAAAGCAUCUAAGCGGGAAACUCGUUUCAAGAUUAGAUCUGCCGGGGCCUUGAGCCCCCUAAAGAGUCGUUCAAGACCAGGACGUUGAUAGGUCAGGUGUGGAAGCCA
rnacentral:rRNA from 1 species